ensembl:lncRNA
CACUUAACUUUCUUAUCUUGCCUCCUCCCAUCAGGGCAUUUUAAAAAACAAAACGCCAAACACCCUGUUACUGGAUAUCCUGCAGUUGAGAUUGUCAGAUUUUGCAAAUGAAAACACAGAACACGGACAGUUAGAUUUGAAUUUCAGAUAAACAAUGACCGUCCCAUGCAAAUCUGGGACAUGCUUAUACUAAAAAAUGAUUCGUUAUGUAUCUGACAUUCAAAUCUAACCGUGCCCUGUAUUUUGUCUGGCAGCCGUACCUUCUGGGUGCUGAGCGGCUCGGAUGCUGGAGGCUCAGGGAUGCUGGAGGGACCCAUUCUGCUUAGCCCUGGAGGGACUGGUUCUGCUCACACCACUCCUGGUACUGAGCGCUUCUUCUCCGUGGCCACGAACCUCUCCAACCUGCCAGCCCUCCCCAAGGUUCCUAAACGCGGAUGUAUGUAAGGAUUACCCGCAGAGAGGCGGGUACAGCGUGGGCUGGGAAGGCCUUGGAUUCUGCAUUCGAACAACCCCAGGGGGAUUCCAGGCAGACCAGCAGCCUCCUUAAGCGCUCAUCCCCAAGAUCCCCCCACGUGGACCAGCUCUGGAGUGGAGGUGGAAAGAAGAAGGGGGGGUUACCUCUACACCUCCACACCCCGGCCCAUCCUCCUCCUUCCUCCCUCCUUUAGGGAGAUGCCCACCCCUUUCCGGGAUUGGAAGUCUGGGGGGGACACCUCCCCAGGGAGCCCCGGGCUGGAGGCAGUGUCUGGAGGCAGCAUCUCUUCAUCCGCCCACUGAGACCACUGAAGCGGCGGGUGGAGGGGUCUUGCGCUCUGCCAGCCACCCUCCUGCCCUGUGCCUGCCCUCAGGCACGUGUGCUCCGACCGCUGGGAGUCUCAGCUUGGAGGGCAGGGCAGGGGGACCUUCAACAGGUUGGAAAACAAGUAGCCAAACAGCCCAGCUCGGACUGAAGGUCGGCCUGGAGUUGGGGACGCAGGGGACUGGUCCUUGGGGUCUGGGACCACUUGUCUCAGAGGAGCUGCCGCAGCCUGAGGCUUUGACUCCAGGGCCCUGAGGCGGGCCUGCGUGUCCCCUGCAGGGAGAGCCGGAGCGCUUGGCAGGAGCACCUUGGCUGCUCGACUGGGAAAUGCAUUCUGGAGGGUGGGUAGGGGAGGCCGAUGCAGCCAACACUGCAGCCACCUGGUCUGGGAGGGUGGUGGCUAUGACCGGGUGCAGGUGGAGAGGGUGCAGGGGUGGGUACCUGUGCAGGAUUUACUGACGCGAAGUGGAGAGAAACCCGGGAUGACAGCGUCAUGCUCCAGGCGUGCGCAGAGGGGAAGUGAGAGCGCAGGACCAGUGUGGGUGUCUUGGGCGCCAUGAGGAAGUACCCGCUACUUGGGGCAGAGGACGGGCCGACGUUGCCACAGGAGGGAUUUGGGUGGGAUCAGGGGAAGGCCGUGUAUCCCAUGGUUCUAGAAGUCGGGGCCCGGGUGCACAGGGUGUCUUCUUGCCAAGUCUCUUCUGACUGCUGGGGUCUUGAGUGCGUCAGUGAGAAGCUCCCCUUUGCCCCACGUAAACUGAGUGAAGACUGAGACACAAGGCUCUGAGAGGCGGGAGCAAGGCGGCAGCGGGUCAGAGGCACGCGGGCUGAGAAGACGCCUCGGCUUGCUGCUGACUUCCCACUGCGUCAACAGCUGAGCCCUGGGGUACGGGCACCCCUUGCUCGGGUUAAUGCUCUGCUGUCGCUGUCUUGGAAUUUUUAAGAAUCUUUGAACAAGGGCCCCCCCGCAUUUUCUUUUUGUACUGGGACCCACAAAUCACUCACGCAGCAGCUCCUGCUCUGGGAGCUGCCCCUGUUUCCGGGCCUGGAGCACCGAGGCUCCCAAGUACUCUGUGCAGCUGGUGAUUCCACUGCGGGACGGGGAGGCUGAGGCAGGCAUGUUCCUCUCUUUCCUCCAGACUCACCAGUCAGACUGCUCACCGGGGUGGAGGCAGGCCCUGGGCUAGGAGCGCUACCCCAGGGAAGGCCGUCCAGUGGAGAGUGGGGCAGGAGCACCCCUGACACCACUGUGCCUUCAUGAAGGCCACCAGGAGAAGGCACACAGAGCCCUGAGGGAUCGGGAGCCGGGGCGCAGGGGGAGGAAGCAGAAGCUGAGGCCUGUCACCGCCCUUUGGGCUUCGAGCCCUUUCCUUUAGGACUGUGGGGUCCCUGUCACCACCCUAUUUAACAGAAAGGAAAACAGAUGCUCAGAGGUCUGAAGUUUCAGACCCCAGACGCAGGCGCCAGGCUGGCUGUCUUGGGAGCCUGGCGUUCUGGUUCAGGUAGAAACACGAGGAUCCUGCUCCUUGAGGGUCCUUGUUGGGUCAGCCUGGGAUGGGGUCUGAGGUCUAUAUUUUUAAAAACUCCCUGGGACUUCCUACGACCUUUGCCCAAGGUCACAGCUGGAAAACAGCAAUGUCAGAGUUUGGACCCAGGGCUGUUGGUUCCAGCUCCACAUAUGCAGCUGCCCUGAAGCAGGGCUCGGAUGACCCGGGGGAGGGACUUCGGGGGGGGGGGACACUCAUUACUAAGUCUCAGUUUUUCCCCUUAAUUCUCACCACGCCCCCGCGAGGUAGGUGUCCUGCUCCCGUUUCACAGACAGACAGGUGGAGGCCUUGAGACGUCGGCGGCGUGGCCGGUGCUGCAGUGGCGCUGGGGACUGGAGGGAGCUUUCUGCCUGGGCUGCGAAUCACCAGGAGCUUUAAAAUAACGCCUUGCUGGGGCUCCGCCAGACUAGUUGCAUCGGAAUCUGUGCUUUUCACACAAAAUUGCUGGGGGUUCUGCUGCACAGGCAGGGCCGUGAACCGUGAUUUGGAGGAACUAGAGAGACGGAUUCCCCACCUGCCGGGGAGGGGAGGCCGGGGACAAUCUCAGUGGCCCCAGGUGACCUGCCAGGCUGGGCCUCUCUUGGCUCCUAGUGGCCGCAGGCCUGCAAUUUCCGCACGACCUCUCUUCUUCGGUUUGCAGCGAGAUACCUGGGAAAAGCUGGAGGACCUCUGCCCUGGAGCAAUUUGGGGCCCAGGGUGGAGCUGAUGCAGUCUCCUCUCUCUCAGGACACACACGCCGGUCCCAUCCAUGUCCUGGCUGCGGUGACCUUCACCAAGCGCCCCCAAGCCCUGGAUGCUGUGCUGUGGGGGGACACAGAGUCUGGAAGACCCCGAGCAUUGAGGCCCACUUGUAACUAAAAUCCCGAAUCCCGCUCGGCAGUGCUGCGGCACCUGCUGCAACGACCUCCCUGGGUGGGGGUGGCAGGCCCUGGUCUGUGACCUGUGACCUAGGGGAGUUCUCAGCCUCACUGGGCCGCAGAGCCACCAUCCACCAUCUUGUCCUAAACCACGUACUUUGGGAACUCAGCGCUUCUGCAGGCACCACCCCAGGGACUUCCUCCUGCCAGGCCCCUGCUGGCCCCCUGGGGUUUGGGGGCCUCCAGUGCCCCUCCACACCACCAGCCAGGCACACAGGGACUUUCGAUCUCUCUGUGAGUUUUCUCCGAGCUGGGCGGCCCGGAGCAGCUGGGUGCGUGCUGGGGAGGGCACAGGAGGGACACUGCACAGGCUUCAGCCAGGCCCCACUUCUGUCCACCCCUCGACUUUACCAGUAGCCCAGGGCGCCCCCCACAGACCCCAGAGUCAUGGCCUCUGGGGAGAGAGGUCGUCAGCUUUGAGCUUGACCCUCGGCAGAAGUCUCAUAGGACAACUGCUCAGGCCAGGAGGUGGCCGCAGGAAACGCCUGGCUUGUGACCCAGUGAACUCAGACGCUGCGGUCCCCAACACACAGUCCUUCCUCGCGCAUGAAGGGUGUGUCCCCAAUGGGACCUCCCUCACGGGGGCCGCCAGCCUGGCCCGCAGAGACUCAGGCUCAUGCAGGCGAGGUCUGCCCCACUCGCCAGCUCAGCGGGUCUGUUUCAAAGCUUGGGAGGUUCUGCUCUGUGACCCUGGGAACCUCAGCCUGCCUGGCCUCCUCGCCCUGGCCUGGAUGCAUCCCCUUCGUCCCCCGAUGGCAAGUUACAAGGGGGGGGGAGCUGCUCUUGGCCUCGGGCCAGCCUGGCUUCCGAGUACCUCCCCCUAGGCUGGAUCUAGUCCCUGUGGGCUGGGAGUCAGAGCAGACCUGGCCUCCAUCAGCUUCCUGCUCCCUCGGAGAAGCUGCUCACCCUCCCGAGCUCUGGUUUUCUCCAGCUGCGUGGUGGAAAGGAUGCUCCCGGGCAGCGACUAAGGGAUGAGAUGCCCGAGAGUGUGCGGAAGCUCACAGCACAGUCCCGGCACAGGUAGGCGCUCAACCGGCACUUAAUGAACAUUUGCAGACUCUGCCAGUGUCUGUAUCAGAUAAACGCGUGAUUACUAAGUGCGACCCAGGCUGUGACAGGACUGUGGGGCCCUACUGGGCGGGUCGGCUGGUCAGGAAGGGCCUCUGAAGACGUGGAACGUGCGCUGAUGCCUGAGGGACGGAGGCCAGCUUGUCCUGUGUGCCAAGGCCGGGACGAGGGCCGCAUGCCUGGCCAGCGUGGAGAGGAGGGAGCGUGUGGGGUGGGACCUGGAGGCCGAGGUAUGGAAUUGCAUUUUGUUCUAAAGGCCACAGACACCACUGGGAGUCUGCAGGAGGAUGCUCCCGGCGCCCUGCGGGGUAAAAAGCCCCUCUCCUGCUGGGGUGGGCAGAAUGGGAUGGAGGCUGGGAGGGGAGGCACGAGGCUGGGCAGGGCUCCAGGACACAGUGGUCACACAAGGACGGGGCGGGUGGACAGAGGUGGACAGAGGCCAGCUUUAGCAAUGGCUCUGAUGAAGGGGCAGAAGAGGGGCAAGCUCCAGAGCCUGGCUGAGCAUCCGGGCGGAUGGAGCCACUUUGCUGGGAUGGAAGCCCCUGAGGGGCAGGCUGAGUGGGGGGCCCCACAGGGUGUGCGAUGCACUGAGGCUCCGCAGGGCACCACGGGAAGCUGACGCGGCUCAGAAGCCAGAGAUGGACAUGAGCUCUUUCCUGUUCUUUAAGUCCUGGCUCCUCUUGAUUCCUGCCCAAGGUCGGGGAGCCCAAAGGAGCCCACUCAGCACCCACACACCUGCAGCCCCUAAGUAUACCCUCAGAGUCACCCUCAACCAGCGGGAGCCUGCGAUGAACAAAUGCUUCUCCCUUUCAUGCUCCGGAGGCGCCCAGGGCCAGGCACCAGUAGCACAUAGCGACAGCCACUCCACAAGACAUCCUCACGCUGGUUCACCCCCUUCCCUGCCACCCGCUCUCUCCUCCUUACUCCUCUCCCUGGGGUCGCUUUUCCAAACAAACCACCUGCAAAUCAAGCCAGUCCUGUCUCAGGCUUUGCUUUUGGGAUAGCCCAGGAGAAGCCGUAACCUUGAAUUUUGUGCUGUGCUUUGGUCACUGAGGGCUGGAGGCAGCUGGGAGCAGACGGAGGGCAAUGCGGUUGAGGAAUCCCGAUCCGGGAUGGGGGCAGAGGUGUUGGGGCAGGCAGACAGAGGGCCGAACUGGAGCUCAGUGCGGUCCAGAGGGAAUUUUGAUUGGUUUCAUUUAUUUUUUGUUUAUUCAUCUUUGGAAUCGACCUUUUCAUGUUAAGAUCCUUGUAGAUUCACAUGGUAUUGUAAGAAGUAACACACAGAGAUCCCGUGUGCCCUCUGCCCAGCGUCCCCCAGUGGUAACAUCUUGUAAAACUACAGCACAGCAUCGCAACCAGAAUCUCGACACUGAUGCAAGGCGCCCGUCUACGGACACGUCCCCAGUUUGGCUUGUCCGCACAUGCGUGUGUGUAUUUAGUCUGUAUAAUUCUAUUGCCUGUGUAGGGUCCUCCAGCACCACAGCCCAGAUACUGACCUGUUCCAUCACCUCAACAAUCUCUUUUGUUCUCCUUUUGUAACCACACCCACCUCCCGCCCUCCUCUGCCUCCAACCCCCCGACCGCCACCCAGACCCACUAACUGCUCUCCGUUUCUAGAAUUUCGUCAUUUCAAGAAUGUUAUAUAAAUAGGAUCACACACCGCGUGACGUUUUGGGACUGGCUUUUUUCACUCAAAACAAUUCCCGGCAGAUUAAUCCAAGUUGUUGUGUGUGUCAACGAUCCAUUUUAUUGCUGAGUAGUAUUCCAUGGUGUGGAUGUGCCAUUUAACCUUUCACCCAUUGAAGGUCAUCUGGGUGUUUCCGAUUUUUGGCUAUUAGAAGAAGGCUGCUACGCACAUUCGGGAGCAGACUCCUGUGAGAACGCAAGCCUGCCUCUCCCUGGGAUAAAUGCUGGAGAACGCAACUGCUGAGUCAUGUGCUAAUUGCAUGUUUAGUCUCGUCAGAAACGGCCGAACUGUUUGACAGAGGGGCUGUGCCACUUCUCCUCCCCGCUGGCGCUGUGGGAGGGAUCCGGGUUCUCUGCAUCCGCGCCAGAAUUUGGUGUGGUCACUAUUUUUCAUUUCCGCCCUUCUGAUAGGUGUGCAGUGAUAUCUCAUCAUGGUUUUAAUUCGCAUCUGCCUAUCGGCUCCCGAUGCGGGCUGUCCUUUCCCGUGUUUCUUUGCAUUUGUAUGUCCUCCUCAGGGAAAGGUCAUUGUUGAAUUUGAAGCAAGUUUCUUGUAAACAGCAUAUCCUUGGGUCAUUUUAAAAACUGAACUCUGCC